AUUGAACGCUGGCGGCAGGCCUAACACAUGCAAGUCGAACGAGUGGCGGACGGGUGAGUAAUGUCUGGGAAACUGCCCGAUGGAGGGGGAUAACGACUGGAAACGGUAGCUAAUACCGCAUACCAUCGGAUGUGCCCAGAUGGGAUUAGGUAGUGGGUGGGGUAAUGGCUCACCAAGGCGACGAUCCCUAGCUGGUCUGAGAGGAUGACCAGCCACACUGGGACUGAGACACGGCCCAGACUCCUACGGGAGGCAGCAGUGGGGAAUAUUGCACAAUGGGGGCAACCCUGAUGCAGCCAUGCCGCGUGUAUGAAGAAGGCCUUCGGGUUGUAAAGUUCUUUCAGCGAGGAGGCGUUACUCGCAGAAGAAGCACCGGCUAACUCCGUGCCAGCAGCCGCGGUAAUUC
rnacentral:rRNA from 1 species